rnacentral:lncRNA from 1 species
CUCCAGCCCUGUAAGUCAGAUUCCUGUGGUUUAGAGGAUGGCGUGGCUGCACUCCGGCUCAGUACCAAAGAUGUGCUUUCUGUCCCCAGCUAUGCCCCUUCGCAGCUGCGUUCAGACUUUCCUGAGCCACGAGAAGAUGAACACAGGGAUACGCGUACGAUCAGGACAUACUCUCCAGCGCAUCUGUCUUUGAAGAGUGGUCCGUGCCUUCACCCUCUUGGCAUGCCCUCGGCACACGCCCUUCUCUCUUCACGGCUUAGCCUGGCCUUGAAGAAGCCACAGAGCCCAGGCGUUUCCAGUGCAGUGCGAGGAGACGCUGGAGUGGCGGGGACCCUUCCUGCGCACAUUCCUUCGGGUCUCCUAGGGAGCCCGGCUCUUCUCCCUCACCUGAACGACGUAGCAAAUGUGCUGAAUAGAUAGAGCUACUGCGUGGGAUGGCAGAAAGCUAGGGGUUUUGUUAGCUUAUUUGCUUCGGCUGCUGCUGCUGGUUUUGUUUUUGAUGUUUCUGUUGACCAAAGAAAAAUGAAUUUAUGGCCCACAGAGUGAAUGUAAGAAUCUUAUAAAAGCUAAACUCAAAGAAAAAAAUAUGAGAAAAUGAAAAAAUGGAAAUAAAGUGUUUGUAAAUGGGGAGGGGAGGAGGGGGUGAAGGGAGGGCAGGGACAAGGGGAAAAAUAAGAACCAAGACCUGUC